AGAGCUUUAGUUUAAUUAAAAUACCUGUGUUGCAGGCAGGAGAUGUAGUUAUUGCAAGUUCU
rnacentral:tRNA from 1 species